rnacentral:lncRNA from 1 species
AAGCCAGGGUCAUGCCCUUGAACUCCCCAGCCUGCAGAAUCGUGAGCUAAAUUAAUCACUUUUCUUUAGCCAUCUCAGAUUUUCUGUUAUUGCAUCACAAAAUAUUAGACUUCAUCACAAUUUAAAACUUACUUCAGAGGACACCAUUAAGAAAGUGAAAAGAUAAUCCAAAGAAUAGGAGAAAAAUUUUGCAAAUCAUAUUUGUAAGGGAUUUGAGUCUCAAACAUAUAAAACUACUACAAAUCCAUAAUAAAAGCACAAAUAAGGCCAGGCUUGGUUGCUUACACCUGUAAUCCCAGCACUUUGGGAGACUGAGGGGGGCAGAUCACCCAAGGUCAGGAGUUUGACACCAGCUGGGACAACAUAGUGAAACCCCAUCUCUACUACAAAUACAAAAAAUUAGCUGGGGGUGGUGUCACAUGCCCGUAAUCCCAGCUACUCAGGAGGCUGAAGCAGGAGAAUCAUCUGAACCCAGGAGGUGGAGGCUGCAGUGAGCCAGCCUGGGUGACAGAGUGAGACUCUGUGUCAAAAAAAUAAUAAUAAAAUCAAAUUAAAAUUUAAAAACGCAAAUAAUGCAGUUUGAAAAUGGACAUGCCGAAAUCUGAUACACAUGCCUCCAAACAAAACCUACAAAUUGCCAAUAAGCACAGGAAAAGAUGUUUAACAUCAUUAUCCAUCAAGUACAUGCAAAUCAAAACCACAAUGAAAUACUACUUUACACUCACUAGAUGGCUACAAUCAAAAUACAGAUAAUAACAAGGUAAGGAUGUGGGAAAAUAGGAACCCUCAUACACUGCUGAUGAGAAUGUAAAA